UACGGAGGUGGCAAGCGUUGCUCGGAAUCACUGGGCUUAAAGCGCGUGUAGGCGGGACGGCACGUCGGUCGCUGAAAGCCCCCGGCUCAACCGGGGAACGGGCGCCGAUACGACCGGCCUGGAGGGACGUAGGGGGACCUGGAACUUCCGGUGGAGCGGUGAAAUGCGUUGAGAUCGGAAGGAACGCCCGUGGCGAAAGCGGUGGUCUGGGCCGGCACUGACGCUGAGGAGCGAAAGCGUGGGUAGCAAACAGG
rnacentral:rRNA from 1 species